rnacentral:rRNA from 1 species
AGAGUUUGAUCCUGGCUCAGGACGAACGCUGGCGGCGUGCCUAACACAUGCAAGUCGAGCGGAGACAGUGAGUAGCUUGCUAUGAGCUGUUUUAGCGGCGGACGGGUGAGUAACGCGUGAGCAACCUUUCCCAGACAGGGGAAUAACACACCGAAAGGUGUACUAAUACCGCAUAAGACCACGGAAUCACAUGGUUCUGGGGUAAAAGAAUUAUCGGUUUGGGGUGGGCUCGCGUCCGAUUAGGUAGUUGGUGAGGUAACGGCCCACCAAGCCGACGAUCGGUAGCCGACCUGAGAGGGUGAUCGGCCACAUUGGGACUGAGACACGGCCCAAACUCCUACGGGAGGCAGCAGUGGGGAAUAUUGCACAAUGGGGGAAACCCUGAUGCAGCGACGCCGCGUGAGUGAAGAAGUAUUUCGGUAUGUAAAGCUCUAUCAGCAGGGAAGAAAAUGACGGUACCUGACUAAGAAGCCCCGGCUAACUACGUGCCAGCAGCCGCGGUAAUACGUAGGGGGCAAGCGUUGUCCGGAAUAAUUGGGCGUAAAGGGCGCGUAGGCGGCUCGGUAAGUCUGGAGUGAAAGUCCUGCUUUUAAGGUGGGAAUUGCUUUGGAUACUGUCGGGCUUGAGUGCAGGAGAGGUUAGUGGAAUUCCCAGUGUAGCGGUGAAAUGCGUAGAGAUUGGGAGGAACACCAGUGGCGAAGGCGACUAACUGGACUGUAACUGACGCUGAGGCGCGAAAGUGUGGGGAGCAAACAGGAUUAGAUACCCUGGUAGUCCACACUGUAAACGAUGAAUGCUAGGUGUAGGGGGUAUCGACCCCUUCUGUGCCGCAGUCAACACAAUAAGCAUUCCGCCUGGGGAGUACGGCCGCAAGGUUGAAACUCAAAGGAAUUGACGGGGGCCCGCAC